AAAGAUAGUUAGUGUAUAAUUCAAAUCGAACUCACAGAAGUCAAUAAGCGCGUAAAAAUACAAAAAUAUC
rnacentral:sRNA from 1 species